ensembl:lncRNA
UGGGGUGUCUUCGUCCGGCGGCAUCUCCCUCCCGCAUCGCGCUUAACGGCAAUUAGGACCGAGGAAAAUUAAGGCAGAGCGGGAAACGCUUGCAAAACCCCUUGUCCAACCCAAAAGCGGGCCGGUCGCCCGACCCGGCGCGAGGUCCCCCCACCCUCAACCCCGGCCCUGGCCAACCCACGGGCCCCCUGCAUGCCCCAAAACCGCAGGAAACGGCCCCAAGAGCAGGGCAUCGCUGCAAGCGGCAGCGGGGCAUCCCUAAAAGGCAACACGCCUCCCCUCGCUUUUGGCCGUGCAUUGGACGGCCGCUUGUUUUUCCCCAUCCCGGGGGAUUUUUCCCCGUCCCGGGGGAUUUAGCACCCUCCGCUCGGUGCGUUCAGUGGGUUGGAUGCGGGAGGCGGAGUGGGAAGGGGCAGGAGGGAUGCGGCGCAGCCGUUGGGUAGAAAACGGGUGCAAUCGAGGGUUUUGCUGCAUGCACCAAACAUCCCCAUGGCCCCUCUGCUUGCAGCGAGCUUUGGAGCAGGACUGGGUAGAAAACGGGUGCAAUCGAGGGUUUUGCUGCAUGCACCAAAAUUCCCCGUUGCACAGCGAGUUCUUCGGAGCGGGAGCGUGACGGAAACGGGUGCAAUCGAGGGUUUUGCUGCAUGCACCAAAAUUCCCCGUUGCACAGCGAGUUCUUCGGAGCGGGAGCGUGACGGAAACGGGUGCAAUCGAGGGUUUUGCUGCAUGCACCAAAAUUCCCCGUUGCACAGCGAGUUCUUCGGAGCGGGAGCGUGACGGAAACGGGUGCAAUCGAGGGUUUUGCUGCAUGCACCAAAAUUCCCCGUUGCACAGCGAGUUCUUCGGAGCGGGAGCGUGACGGAAACGGGUGCAAUCGAGGGUUUUGCUGCAUGCACCAAAAUUCCCCGUUGCACAGCGAGUUCUUCGGAGCGGGAGCGUGACGGAAACGGGUGCAAUCGGGGGUCUCGGUUGCCCCCCGGACGCCUCCUCUCCUCCCCCCCUACCCCCAAAUCCCCCCAGACUGCGUUUUCGUCGUGCUCGGCGAGGACGCCCCGGCCGAGGGCGAGGAAGACGUCACCAACCUCUGGACCGCCGUGACCUUCGUCCUCCUCUUCCUCCUCAGCCUUUGCUACAGCACCGGCGUCACCCUCUUCAAGGUCCUGUGACGGCUCCAGGCCUCCCGAAGGGCGGAAAAACGCGAGGAAUAAAACCAAGCCUCGUCCCGUUUCCGUCGGCCGAGUCCUUCCCCUUGGCGUUGCACCCCACUCUCCGUCCCGUUGCAGAAAAACACCCCAAUUUCCCCUUGCAACCAACCGCGGGCGCUCUGGUGCGUUGCACCCCACUCUCCGUCCCGUUGCAAACAGAAAAAAACCCCUUUUCCCCCCAUUUUCCUUGCAAGCCCCGAGCUGCCAGGAAGGCCGCCACGCGGGUGACCGAACCCAAACCUCGCGUUUUUGGUAAAAGACACCUUUUUAUUUUCUUUUUUUAAGUUUUCUUCGUUGCCCGCACGGCCGCUUUCCCACGCUUUUCGGGCCGCUGAGUCAUUUUCGGAGCAGAAGUGGGUUAAAAUCGGCCCCAGCGCCGGGCCCCAAACAUCUGGAUUUAGCCCCCCUCCCCGGCCCCGGGCAGCCAGAUGUGUCCUGUUUACCAAAAAUGCGUUUUUUUGUUUUUUUUUCCUCCCUCUGAGUCACCGCGGGGAUAUAUCGGGCUGGAAAGGGGGAGCGGAAGGCGCCCGAGUUUAAAAAAAGGCG